rnacentral:snRNA from 12 species
AUACUUACCCAGCAGGAAUAAUACCCUGAUCACCAAGGUGAUGCUCCUUGAGCAAGGCUAAUCUGUCGCCCUCUGGAUGUGCUGACCCCAAAUGAUUUCCCCAAAUGCAGGAAACUCGAUUGCAUGGUUUAUGGUAGGGAGGAGCUACGUGUGCCUUCUCA